UACGGGGGGGGCAAGCGUUGUUCGGAAUUACUGGGCGUAAAGGGCUCGUAGGUGGCCAACUAAGUCGGACGUGAAAUCCCUCGGCUUAACCGGGGAACUGCGUCCGAUACUGGAUGGCUUGAGUUUGGGAGAGGGAUGCGGAAUUCCAGGUGUAGCGGUGAAAUGCGUAGAUAUCUGGAGGAACACCGGUGGCGAAGGCGGCAUCCUGGACCAAUACUGACGCUGAGGCGCGAAAGCUAGGGGAGCAAACGGG
rnacentral:rRNA from 1 species